GUCACGAAAGAAAGAAGAAAGAAGGAAGAAAGAAAGAAAGAAACAAA
rnacentral:ribozyme from 1 species